rnacentral:tRNA from 1 species
UGUGUUGUGGCUCAGCGGUAGAGUGCUCGCUUAGCAUGUGCGAGGUCCUGGGUUUGAUUCUCAGCACCACAU